GCCGGGCGUGGUGGCAGCACGCCUGUAAUCUAAGAUACUUGGGAGGCUGAGGCAGGAGAAUCGCUUGAACCUGGGAGGCAGAGGUUGCAGUGAGCCGAGAUCGCGCCAUUGAACUCCAGCCUGGGUNNNNNNNNNNUUUUUUAGAUAGUCUUGCAGUGUCGCCCAGGCUGGAGUGCAGUGGUAGAUCUUGGCUCACUGUAACCUCUGCCUCCUGGGUUCAAGUGAUUCUCCUGCCUCAG
rnacentral:SRP_RNA from 1 species